GUGCUUGCUUCGGCAGCACAUAUAUCAAAAUUGGAACGAUACAGAGAAGAUUAGCAUGGCCCCUGCACAAGGAUGAUACACAAAUUUGUGAAGCGUUCCAUAUUAAA